UUGAUAUAUAUCUGAUUUGAAUUUUUAGUGGAAGACGUCUUUUAUACAAGAUUCUUUUGCUUGUAUCUGUGGUCAAUUUUGGGUUCGGCAUAUUUUGGCUUUAGCUUUGCCCCCCUACCACGGCGUUUGAUAUUUUUAAUGCUCUCUGUUUUAGGGGUCAUUAGGUUUGAAGAUUAGUUAUGUUAAAAUUAAUUAUGUUGCAAUUAGUUAUAUUGAGAUUAGUUAUUUUGUUAUUAUUAUUUUUUAAUUGGUUGUUUGGUAUUUGUUGUAUUCCACCAUCUUGCAGGUAUAAGUUAUUUAUAUACUAUUUUUAAUUCUAGAAUAACUUAUCUCAUGAUUAGUAAUCAAAUAAGGGAUAAGACGGUACUAAAUUUUUGUUCCAGAAAGAUUUUUGUUUAUCCAUUAUACCACACGACCCUUUAAUGUUCAAACACCAUAAGGUAUUUUAUUAAAUUGUAAAUCAAGACGGAGAUAGUAAAUUCAACAUUUAGGAUAAGAAUGGAACAUGUAGACUUCAUUAAUUUCUCAGCGAUGAUGUUUCACUUUCAUUAUAGGUUCGUCAAUGAUCUGACAUUCUAGAAGUGUUCUAAGCAACAUUAAAAAAUGGGUUUAUACUUUUUGUGUGUUUUUUUUGGACAACGAUCGCUUUUAUCCGCUUAUUUAUAUUUUUUUAUAUAACAUACAGAAAUAUAUGUAUUUAUAUAUAAAGUAUAUUUUUUUAUUAUUAUUAUUUUAAAAGCGAUUAUACUGUGUCAUUUUCCUUUGUUUCAGAUCGAACUUUCCAUAACUCACGACUGUAAUUGUCAUAUACCCAAAGAGCCCGUUCUCUGUCUUUCUCCUCCUGGAGUUUCCCUCAACUAGUACUAGUAUAUGGCAGAUAAUUCUACUUUUUUAAGAAUAAAUGGACUAAUCCAAUUAUUUUUUGCCGUUGAAUUAAUAUUUACGGUGUACAUUUUUCAAUUAAAAGGUGAAGGAUAUAUAAUUUUUAUAUUCAGAAUUAAAAGAAUUAAGUGAAAUUAACUUUAAUACAUUUUAAUUGAUUUCGCGGUCUACGAAAGAGUUGCCAAGGAGAAAGAGACAUCUUAAUACACAAAAGAAAAUUUACUAAUUGUUCCUUAUGGUGGGCAUUUCUUUCUUCUUUUUUCUUUUUUCCAAAACAAGUUUCUUUCUCGAGGACAGAAAAUCUGUUCUAUAAUUAUGAAUUAAAUGAAAUAAAGAAUUAUGACAUAAUUAAUAUAUGCAGGAGUGAUUAAUGAUAUGAUGUAUUUGUCCAUAUUUCUCUAAUUUUUUAUCUUACAUUAUAUUUUAAUUAAGUAAAACUAACUUAUUAAUUAUUUUUAAAUUAUUUAUCUGUUUAAAUAAUACUUAUUUUCACAUUUACAUGUCUACUUUUCAAAAUUGAUCUCAAAAAUAUUUUGAAAAAUAGUGGUCAACACAAAUUGUUUCUAUAUUAAUUAACUAACAAAAACACUUAUCAAAUUAUAUAGGCAAAAUUAUAAACGGUUACUAUCUGCAAGUACUUUUUAGAAAUGCAAAAUCAUUUUUAAAAAUAAUCAAAUUUUAAAAGUUUCACCACAUAGACCGAUAGACGGAGGCCAUCAGGGGCCGAUUUAGCCCAAAAUAAAGGUGCACGUGAAUCCAUGCUUCAUCGUUAAAUUGAAUAUUUUAUGUAUAUAUUUUCUCAAAUUAAUCUUAUAUUAUCUAUUGACAUCCAUGUUGUAAAAAUGUUGAAUAGUGCACAUGAUUAAAGGUAAGUUAUUUAGCCAAAAAAAUAGGGAUAAAAAGUAAAAAGCAUUGGACAAUUUCAACAAAACAAUGGCUGAUCUUUAUAGCAUUGAACAACUUGAGCUUGGAAUUUAUUCAAAUGGCUAUUUUCCAAUUUGACCUGACCUUUGAAUUCAACCAAGUUCUUCUAGAAUUCCCAUUUGAAAAACAUUGUACACGAGCGUUUUAAAUUUACCAUAAUUAAAUAAGAACAUAAAAAUAAACCAAAAUUUUCUCCAAAGCCCUUCGCUCUUUUUCUUUUUCUUUUUGCUUAUCCACAGGCCCUAGACGAUGUAUAAAAGGGAAAAAUAUUAUUAGGAUCAAGAAAACAGAAACUGAAAAUUCCACAAAAAUCCUCCUUUUUUCUUCUAUAAGAAGAAACAUCAAUUUGAGGAGUGUACAUUCGACCAAACAACCAUAACGUAAGCCAUCCAUUUCUCCAUAUAAAAAGAGAUCUCAACUUUUUCACCAACAAAUUAAUCAAAGGCAAAAAACUAUUCCCAACAAGAUUCUUCUUCCUUCUCCACCCCUUCUACCUUGAAGGAAAAAAAAAAUUCUUGAGGUGGUGAAGAAGAAUAUAAUAUAUCUCAAAAUAAUGAGUCUUGAAAGUGCAUGGGAAUCAAAUACCAAAAAUGCAAAUCCUCAGCCUGCUGAUCCAAAACGACUCGGCAAUAAACCGAAGCUUUCUCGGAGGGUAAGUGAGAAAUUUGAAGUAGGAAUGGAGAAAACAAAGAUAGCAGCUUCUGCAGGAAUGAGGAAAGUUAAAGAAGGAGCCAGUGUUAGUGCUAAUUGGUUCAAGGUUAAGUAUAACAAGAACAAGCUUACCAAGAAAUAAUUAUAAUUAAUUAUGGAGAUUAUAUAAUAUAUAUGUUGAUGAGAUUAUAUUAUAAUCUUUUUUGUUGGAUCCAUAUGCAUGUAUAUGCAUCUUAAUUGUUACAUAUUUUUUGUUCUUGUUUUUUUAUUUGUAUCUUCAUCUCUUUUCUCGAUUCUAACAUUGUCAGAAAUUUAUUGUAAUUCUUAUUUGAGAAUUUUAUAUGUAAUGUAAUUAUUCUUAUAAAGAAUACAUACCUUAUAUUUUUUGAUGAUUAUAGUUUUUCUUUUUCUCAUGUCAAAAUAAGGAUCUGUCUGUUCUUCAUUUUCCGAAGAGAAUUUAUAUUUCAUUUCAUUUUAUUGUUACACGUGAAGGUGAUUUUUUAUUCUGUUUCCUUUUUCUUUCUUUGUGUAUUCAAAUUUCUUUUUGCUUUCAAAGUGGGAACUAUAAUCUGGCAAUUUCUGUCUGCAAACAAACAGUUGAUUAAAAAAAAACAGAUGUCAAUAACCGUAGCUUUAAAAUAAUAUGUCUACACCAAAUAUAUGUGAUUUAUUGGACGAGAACUGUAUAAUACUAGAUAAAAGCUUUUAUACAUGUGAAAGGGUAUCACUUU
rnacentral:lncRNA from 1 species